GCCAGGUGUGGUGGCGCAUGCCUGUAGUCCCAGCUACUUGGGAGGCUGAGGUGGGAGGAUCCCUUGAGCCUGGGAGGUCGAGGCUGCAGUGAGCUGUGAUGGCACCACUGCACUCCAGCCUGGGCAAUAGAGCAAGACCCUGUCUCAU
rnacentral:SRP_RNA from 2 species